UAGCGUUAUACAAGUUUUUCGAGCACAAAGAGGAAGUCAAGUACCAAAGAGUAAAGCCAACAACAUCACAUGGAUUCGAGUGGAGUACUUUGAUGACUUCAAGUGUGCUACUUACUCAAGAUCUAAGUUGGAUGAACUUAAGGAGGAAUGGUGUCAAUUCAUGAUUGAGUUGAAAGUUGUAUAGGAUAUUGAAGGGUAAAAAGGUUAGCUGGCAAGAAGAAAAAGUAGAUAUUUAGCAUCCUUUUGACUUGUGUAAAAAAUAACAAUGUUUUGGAUGAUGCAAUUGUUUUCAUUGAAUUGGAUGUAA